rnacentral:tRNA from 1 species
AUUUAUAUAGUUUAAUAAAACAUUACACUUUCACUGUAAAGAUAAAGAAAAACUUUUAUAAAUA